rnacentral:rRNA from 1 species
AAUAGAUACCCUGGUAGUCCACGCCCUAAACGAUGGAUACUCGACAUACGUGAUAUGACUAUGUGUGUCUGAGCGAAAGCAUUAAGUAUCCCACCUGGGAAGUACGACCGCAAGGUUGAAACUCAAAGGAAUUGGCGGGGGUCCGCACAAGCGGUGAAGCAUGUGGUUUAAUUCGAUGAUACGCGAGGAACCUUACCUGGGCUAGAAUGCAGUCUGACCGUGGGUGAAAGCUCAUUUUGUCGCAAGGCACACGAGGUAUAAGGGUGCUGCAUGGCUGUCGUCAGCUCGUGCCGUGAGGUGUUGGGUUAAGUCCCGCAACGAGCGCAACCCCCAUCAGUAGUUGCCAUCAGGUAACGCUGGGAACUCUACUGAAACUGCCGUCGUAAGACGUGAGGAAGGAGGGGAUGAUGUCAAGUCAUCAUGGCCUUUAUGCCCAGGGCUACACACGUGCUACAAUGGGGCGUAACAAAGGGCUGCCGACUUAGGCGAUAAGGAGCCAAAUCCCCAAAAAAACGCCUCUC